CUAUAUUUUUUAGUUCUUUAAAUUUGGGUUUAAAUAUGAUUAAGGUCUGGGUAUUUAGAUUGGAUUGUAUUGGAUUGCAUUCAGGUUUUGGCUUAGAUUCAGUUUUGAGUAAGGAAUUUGGGUUAGAAUGGCUUUUAAUAUGCUGUUUUUAAUUUUUUGUUGAAAUAUUUUCCCCUCUUUAUAUUUUUGUUUCCCAUGUUUCUUUUCUACCAUUGUUGUCAAGGUUCUUACAGUAUAUAUUUAAAGUUUUUCAUUUGCAAUUGCUCUGAUUUGAAAUAAUAAAACCCUAGAACACAGAGAAUAAGAAGGUGUUGAACAUUAAAAUGCCUUUCUUCCUCCACUGAUGCCAAUCUGCUUCAAGCAUUAUAUCUUUGUGUUUCGGAUCCAAAAUUAAAUCGUACCCACAAAAAUCCUUACACAAAUCUGCAUCUUCAACGUCCCAAAACACCAUCUCUUAUCCGUCUCCAAAACCAAAAAUAAAAGUCCACUUAAAAAUCUGCCACGCUUACAGAUUAAGAGAAAAGUCACAGUGUUUUGCUGAAACACUUUCUACCUUAAGCCGUUUAAAAAACCAUGAAUCGCCGCACUCUUAAUCAACUACACACACCGCAAUUCAAUCCAAAAAAAAAACUACACACACCACAAAGAAAAGAUAAAUUCCCUCCGUUUGGUAGAGGACAAAAUGGCAAAAUAAAACCUCUUCCUCCUUCCAAUUUUCAGUUUGACACCUUCUUUGUUCCACUUCUUUUCUGCAACGUCACACCCAAAGGAAAACGAUGUAUCUAUAUGGACCCAAAUGUAAUUAGUAAAACACGUUUAGAACAACUAUCAAAAGACGCCUAAGAUUUGUAAAAUGGUGAUGAAUCAUGAUAAAUAUAGAUAUAGCAAAUUCUUUUACAGAUAACAGCACAAAAAACGCACAAGAGAUUUCUUUGUAAUCUACAAUGACAAUGGUUAAAUCGAAUGUCAAAAGAAAAGACAUUAAAAUAACACUCAUUAGGAGUUCUUUUAUUAGUAACUAUGACAAGACUAUAAGUAAAAAUGACAAAAAGUAAACCUUCAGCAUAUAACGUCAGUUCUUAGAGAAGACAUUCUAUUGUCACAGCAGAUGUGGUCACCUAUUAUCAAAGUUUGGAGUCUUAUAUACAGGCAGCAAUGAUUUCUCUACUGACCACCACACUUCACAUUCUAAUGCAAUUGGCAUUAGCUUUUGAUGUUUUCCUUGAUACUAGCACACAGAAUCGAAAACUACAAUGGCACUAAAGAGAGUAUCCAACUCUUUCAACUACUCCCAUUUGGAAGUGGACUUCAAAUUUACCCAUUUAAGUAAAAAUCUGUCAACUUUUCAAACCUGCAUAAACAAACAUUCAACAUGAAUUCAGUCACAACAAGAAUAGAAUUACAUUUUCCAGUGGGUUAUAUGCGUCACAAGAAAAGACACUACAGUGACUGACAGUAGAGCUUAAAGCUGGAUAGUAUUGACUAGGCACAAAUUUUUUCAUCCUUGAUUAUCAAUUAGCUAAUAUCCCUGAUUCUUUUCUGGGUAGACUGCAAAAUUAAUUUAUGUAAGCAUUUUAGAUUUAACAUUCAUAGCUGUAUGGUCUAACUUUUUCCCUAAUUUUGUGAUGCCUCCCUCAAUUUUUUCAAAUCAGUUUGUAAAUUCUCACAAAAUAAUCAUUAUCCUAUGGCAAGAAAACUAUGUAUCUUAUUUCAACUUAUCAUUGACAAUGAGGCUAAGUGUAGGAAAUACAAUUCAAAUUGGAUAAAAGAACAACUACAAUAUAUUAGUUUUUUAGUCAUAGACAAUUUCAUUGAUAGAAGUUUUCAGUCAUAUUUCUGAGUAAUACACAUAUUGUAUUCAUUGAAUAAUUACACACAAAAUUCAACUUACAGAGACUUAUGUCCAUUGCCUUAUCUGCAAUCUAUAGGCUAUUUCCCUCCAUACGGUGGUAUGAAGUGGAGCACCCAAACAGGUUGGUGUAUUAGUUAAGACAACAAGGCUGACUAUAAGAGAAAUCAUCAGAACAUUUCUCCCUGCAUUCUCUCAAUUUGGUUCAUUUCACUUCAAUUCUUGAUUUGUUUUGGGUGACAGAGUUGCAACAUUGAGUGUGUGUUGGGUUAAUAUCUGUGUUUGUGUAUGUUUUUCAACCAUGGCAUCUCUGCUAGAUGAAGUUAAAUGAGAAUUCCAGAAAUUCCAAUAUAGUUGCUUUGUAGAUAAAAUAGAAAAAUUUAUUAUUGAAAUCCAUGACAGUUUGGUUGUGUAAUCCAUAGAAAGUUUGGUGAUAAAUCCUUAUUUCUAUCUCCUCAUAAUCAUUUUUUCUGUUCUUGGAAGAAUAUGAAACUUAAUCUUAAAAUGAACUUUUAGACUCUAAUUAUUAUAGGGCUCCCGAGUUGGAACCCUUCUAUAUUUUUCUUUAUAAAAUUGAAUUACAAUGCCCUUUAAGAUUAUGUAUUUGAAAGUUAGGGGAAUCUAAUAAGUAGGUUUGGUUUGUUUAUGAUUUAUUACUCGGUGGCUUUGUGCAUUGAGACUAGGGUUUGGAUUUUCUCUACAAAUUUUUUAAUUUGUCAUUGAGAAUGAAUUGUUAGUUCAAUGAUUUUGGGUUUGAUUUAGAGGUGGCUCGGUGUUUUUGAAAGUAUAUUCGUAAAAAAAUUGUGGGUCUGUGAAUGUGAUCUUACUUUGGAGAUUUUUACUGAUUUAGUGAUGGCAGUGGUAUUGAACUUGGACUUGGUUUUUGCAUACAGGUUUGCAUAAGUGAAUUAAACUUAUCUUCUAAUAAGAUUAGAUUUUAUACUCCAAUAUUUGUUUCUAUGAUUGAUUACAGACCACAAUUUGAUAUUUUGGUUUUCUCAUCCUCCUUUUCUCAUCAACACAUAUUCUUUUAUCUUACUCUCAUCUCUCUUACAAAUUUCACUAUAUAUAAAAAAUAAGUACCCAAAAUGGACAGAAUAUAUUCCUUCUUUCAUUUAUUUAUGUGCCAUAUAUAGGGGCUGUCUUAUUGUUUGAUUUAUUUUUUCACUUGAUAUAUCAAAAUUUUGAAGAUGCAACAACCAUUUUUUUGGUUACUAAUAUUACAAUUUGACUAGAUUGUAAUAGAGCUUUGGCAUUUUUUUUAAAGCAUGUUGAGUAUGUCACUUUUGAGAAAACUGGUAGUAAUAAUGCAUUUAUUUGUUUAAUGACAGACAUAUAUUAAUUUUGAAUAUCAAAGGGUGAGGUUGAACGGAGCAGAGAGCUUGAUGAGAGACUUAUAGACAUAUUAAAGCAUUUGAAGUAUAUAAAUGUUGGGGUUGAAUGGAAUCUACAAGGGUCUGUAUUUAUUCCUCACAAAAAGGACAUGAUAGGUAGAAAAUAAGAACGGAAAACAAUAUUUGGCCGAUUGGAAAAGAGCAAGAACAAAAAGAACAAUUGAGAUAUGAAAUGAGCAUUGAGCACAUAACCACACAAAAAGCAAUGAAAAGGCACAUUAGAAUUCAAAAGAAAAAAAAGUUAGCUAAUGCUGAAUUAGCAUCUUCAAAUGCACUUGGUUGGAUUGUUUUAGAUUUAGAUAUUUGAGUUAGAUUUGGUUUUAAUUAUGGUAUUGGGUUUAAAAUAAAUUUUGUUUUAAGUAUUUUGUAUUAGAUUUGGGUUAAAUUAGUUUUUGGUAUCUACCUAUGAUGUUUGUAAUUAGAUUUGUAAAUGGAGAUAUGUAUUGGGUGUUUAGUACGUGGUAAAAGUGUAUUUAAAUAUAUUAUUAAAAAAAUUCUUUCUAAUAAAUAUAAAUAAAAAGCUUCCCGCACAUAAUGCAGGUUAAAAAGCCAACUAUAUAUAAAAGCAAAAACCUUUAAAAAGGUGCUGUCACAUUAAAAAAAAAAUUACCACUUAAAAUUCUGCCACGUAUAUAAAUUAAAAAGCGAUAAAUUAUGUUGUCUGGCAAUACCGCAACAACAUUUAAAAACCUCUCCUUAUAAUUAACAAAAAAUAACUGGUUAAAAUGAAAGACUAUGCAUAGAUAGAAAUAGAGAGAGGCGAGAGGCCUGGGACGCAGAGAAAGAAACAGAGAAACAGGCUAGGACAUGGAGAAAGAAACAGAGAGAGGCAGAACGGUAAAGACUACAUCGAUUGGGCAAAAGAAAUCAAAAAAAUCUCAAAACACGAUUUUGCAGACGACGGAGAAAGAAACAGAGAAAGAGGCAGAGUUCCUAAGGCUGUCCAUUGUGCGUUACAAUCAAAAGGGAAAGAGAGCAGAGUUCGUCUGAGCCAUACACCAUCCAUAUCCUUGCCAGAUUUAGACCACCAGAUCGACGGAACUGACAUCGACAAUGAAUGAUUGAGUCCUGCACCAUCAGGAGCCUCGCCAUAGAAGAAAAAUCUAUGGACCAUCAACACCGUAAGACCAUAUAGCGAUAGAGUGAGAACUACCACUGCCCCUUACUUUAAAAUAAACUCAGCCCGAGUCCCCAAAAAACUCAGCCAGACGCUCUUCCCCUCUCUCCCUCUUUUAGACGCAUGCUCUGCCCUUAUUCCUCUCACUCAUCUGUUUCAGCCUCCGCUCCUCCAACCUUGGUGCCAAGAGGGAAAGUUGUGAAACCAAGAGAUAGUUAUGUUGAAGACAAUGGAAGAACAAGUGUAUUUCCAUAGUUUCAGAAUGAAUAGGAGGCAGAUGUGAAAAACACACCAGCAGUUUCGCUGCCUAAGAAGAAUCAAGAUUCAGUCAUGAGCCGCAUUGAUAUGGAGUUCUUUGCACCACGACUUCCUCCAUUUUAUCCUUUCGAGAAGGUCUCUAUGGAAUUGAUGGUACCUUUUAAAGUAACUACAAGUAUACAUCCUUCAAAGAAUCCGAAUGCAAGUUCUGCAAAAGUUCACUAUUAUGUUGCUUCAGCAAUAUACAAUUAGCUUUUCUCAUGAAAAUUUUAUUGGUGAAGGUAUGCUUGGUAGUGUUUAUAGGGGUAAGCUGCCCGAUUGAAAAGUAAGAUUCUUUUAACUAAAUAAGAACUAAUUUGCCAAGAUGAUGGUGUGGCUGUUUGAUUGUGGCUUUUACUUCAGAAUGCCUCAUGUACGUUUGUAUUUGUUGUCUUUUUUCCCCCUUCAUCUUCUUUAUCCUCAUUAGGAGUAGGAGAGUAGUCGAGAAAGAGCCAUAGACAAAUAAGAAAAUGCAUUAGUGAAGUUUAGAAGAAUGCAAAAAUUGUCAAUAUCCUUAUGCUUCAAGAAAUUUAUGUUAAAGGAUUGUGCUAAAAAGCACCAACCAAAUGUACAUGGCUUAGGAAAAGAAUAGGUAGUUGUAGAUUUCUCUGUGAGAUUACACAAAUGUAACUUUGAUUUAGUGCCACCAUCUUUUAGUUUUUUAUGGGGUAGUACAGUGAUUGGUAUUCAUAAAACUCUACAAUUUAACUUUUU